rnacentral:rRNA from 1 species
CUGGCGGCGCGCCUAAACAUGCAAGUCGAACGAGAAAGGGGAGCAAUCCCUGAGUACAGUGGCGUACGGGUGAGUAACACGUGGGUAAUCUGCCCUUUGGUGGGGAAUAACCCUGGGAAACCGGGGCUAAUACCGCAUAAGUCCGAGAGGAGAAAGCAGCAAUGCGCCGAAGGAGGAGCCCGCGGCCGAUUAGCUAGUUGGUAGGGUAAAAGCCUACCAAGGCAAAGAUCGGUAGCCGGCCUGAGAGGGCACACGGCCACACUGGCACUGAAACACGGGCCAGACUCCUACGGGAGGCAGCAGUGGGGAAUCUUGCACAAUGGGGGAAACCCUGAUGCAGCGACGCCGCGUGAGCGAUGAAGCCCUUCGGGGUGUAAAGCUCUUUCGGCAGGGAAGAUGAUGACGGUAUCUGCAGAAGCAGCUGCGGCUAACUACGUGCCAGCAGCCGCGGUAAUACGUAGGCAGCAAGCGUGGUUCGGAGUUACUGGGCGUAAAGGGUGUGUANGCGGUUUGGUAAGUCUGGUGUGAAAUCUCCCGGCUCAACUGGGAGGGUGCGCCGGAAACUGGCGGACUCGAGUGCGGGA